AGAGUUUGAUCCUGGCUCAGAUUGAACGCUGGCGGUAUGCUUAACACAUGCAAGUCGAACGGAAACGAUACUAGCUUGCUAGUAGGCGUCGAGUGGCGGACGGGUGAGUAACGCGUAGGAAUCUACCUAAUAGUGGGGGAUAGCCCGGAGAAAUCCGGAUUAAUACCGCAUAAUCUCUAUGGAGUAAAGGGGCCCUCUUCUUGAAAGGUUUCGCUAUCAGAUGAGCCUGCGUAAGAUUAGCUAGUUGGUGAGGUAAAAGCUCACCAAGGCGACGAUCUUUAGCUGGUCUGAGAGGAUGAUCAGCCACACUGGGACUGAGACACGGCCCAGACUCCUACGGGAGGCAGCAGUGGGGAAUAUUGGACAAUGGGGGCAACCCUGAUCCAGCAAUACCGCGGGUGUGAAGAAGGCCUGAGGGUUGUAAAGCACUUUCAAUUGUGAAGAAAAGUUAAUAGUCAAUAACUAUUAGCCUUGACGGUAACUUUAGAAGAAGC
rnacentral:rRNA from 1 species